rnacentral:rRNA from 1 species
GACGAACGCUGGCGGCGUGCUUAACACAUGCAAGUCGAACGGAAAGGCCCCUUUGGGGGUACUCGAGUGGCGAACGGGUGAGUAACACGUGAGUAACCUGCCCUUGACUUCGGGAUAACUUCAGGAAACUGGGGCAAUACCGGGUAGGAAAUCUUUCCGCCUGGUGGGGGUUGGGAAGGUUCGGCGGUUUUGGAUGGACUCGCGGCUUAUCAGCUUGUUGGUGGGGUAGUGGCUUACCAAGGCUUUGACGGGUAGCCGGCCUGAGAGGGCGACCGGCCACAUUGGGACUGAGAUACGGCCCAGACUCCUACGGGAGGCAGCAGUGGGGAAUAUUGCACAAUGGGCGGAAGCCUGAUGCAGCAACGCCGCGUGCGGGAUGACGGCCUUCGGGUUGUAAACCGCUUUCAGCAGGGGCGAAGCUUGUGGUGACGGUACCUGCAGAAGAAGCACCGGCUAACUACGUG